GAUGAACGCUGGCGGCACGCCUAACACAUGCAAGUCGAACGGAGUUUAUGGGAGCUUGCUCCUAUAAACUUAGUGGCGGACGGGUGAGUAACACGUGAGCAACCUGCCUUUCAGAGAGGGAUAGCUUCUGGAAACGGAUGGUAAUACCUCAUAACAUACGGAUUCGGCAUCGUUUCUGUAUCAAAGAUUUAUCGCUGAAAGAUGGGCUCGCGUCUGAUUAGCUGGUUGGUGAGGUAACGGCCCACCAAGGCAACGAUCAGUAGCCGGACUGAGAGGUUGAACGGCCACAUUGGGACUGAGACACGGCCCAGACUCCUACGGGAGGCAGCAGUGGGGAAUAUUGCACAAUGGGCGCAAGCCUGAUGCAGCGAUGCCGCGUGAGGGAAGAAGGUUUUCGGAUUGUAAACCUCUGUCAUCGGGGACGAAAAUGACGGUACCCGAGAAGGAAGCUCCGGCUAACUACGUGCCAGCAGCCGCGGUAAUACGUAGGGAGCAAGCGUUAUCCGGAAUUACUGGGUGUAAAGGGAGUGUAGGCGGGACUGUAAGUCAGAUGUGAAAUAUGCCGGCUCAACUGGCAGACUGCAUUUGAAACUGCGGUUCUUGAGUGAAGUAGAGGUAAGCGGAAUUCCUAGUGUAGCGGUGAAAUGCGUAGAUAUUAGGAGGAACAUCAGUGGCGAAGGCGGCUUACUGGGCUUUAACUGACGCUGAGGCUCGAAAGCGUGGGGAGCAAACA
rnacentral:rRNA from 1 species